GGGGAUGUAGUUUAUUGGUAGAACAUUUGUUUAGCACACACAAUGCUCUGGGCUUGAUCCCCAGCAACUCCC
rnacentral:tRNA from 1 species